CACUCUUCAGUCGAUCAAAAGGGCUCCAAGAAUCGAAAGAGUAGCCUUCUUCCUUUCAAUCGAUCGGGAACGAGAAAGAAGAAGGGAUACCAACGAAGCAGCCCCGGUGGGCAUUGGCUGUGGGUAAAUCAGAGGGAGCAUUUUCGUCAGAGGGAGCAUCGUCGGUGGUCGGCGAGGCCGAAUAGGAGGGAGGGAGAAGCAGCGAUCGUUCGUCGGUCGGGUUCGCAAACCGAUGUGGUCUCCUGGGUUCGACGGUCCGAAGGGAAGAACGGGAUGGGGUAGGGCAUCAGCGAGGGUGGAUGGGGUCCGAAGAGAUGGAGAGCGUGAAGAAGCAGCGAAGUCUUCCUUGUCUCUUCCGGCUGCGAGGCGUGAGCUCCUGACACUGCAAGCAGCGUUAGCAGUGAAGACAGGACCAUUAGACCCUAAAGCAAUCCAAUGAAAUGCAAUGCGUUGGAAAGAAGGAUGAUUGAGGUGGGUUUUUGGGUUUGCUUGUUUGACAGAAAUCGAUAGGGAUGAUCGAAGGCAGUGAAAGCUUUUAUUUCAUAUUUUGGAAAGGUUUGUGAGUAUUGGAAAUAUUUUGGUUAAAAAAAAAAACUAGAAACAAUGUCUCUAGAUAUGUUUUUGAGAAAUAGUGUGGGAAAAGUUUGUAAGGGUACAAUUUAUUUAGAAAUGUAUUUGGUUGAAUUUGGGUAUCUAUUGAUGGAUGUAUUGUUGAGAAA